rnacentral:rRNA from 1 species
CCUACGGGCGGCAGCAGUGGGGCAUAUUGGACAAUGGGGGCAACCCUGAUCCAGCCAUGCCGCGUGUGUGAAGAAGGCCCUCGGGUUGUAAAGCACUUUCAGUGAGGAAGAACGCCUGGUGGUUAAUACCCAUCAGGAAAGACAUCACUCACAGAAGAAGCACCGGCUAACUCCGUGCCAGCAGCCGCGGUAAUACGGAGGGUGCGAGCGUUAAUCGGAAUUACUGGGCGUAAAGCGCGCGUAGGUGGCUUGAUAAGCCGGUUGUGAAAGCCCCGGGCUCAACCUGGGAACGGCAUCCGGAACUGUCAAGCUAGAGUGCAGGAGAGGAAGGUAGAAUUCCCGGUGUAGCGGUGAAAUGCGUAGAGAUCGGGAGGAAUACCAGUGGCGAAGGCGGCCUUCUGGACUGACACUGACACUGAGGUGCGAAAGCGUGGGUAGCAAACAGGAUUAGAUACCCUUGUAGUC